UUAACACUCCACCCAUGAGGCCAUUAGGUCAUCUGACUGCAGGAAAGCGGUAGCUACACAGCGAUUUUAUUGUAAACCCAUGUAUUUUCUCAUAAAUAGGUUAAACUGGUUUUCUGAUGAUGCUUACCUUGGGUCAAUGACACUAGACUUUAACAGAUGUGAUGGUAUCCUGUAAGUCAAUCAGUAACAAAAAUGACACAAAGUCACUUGACAUUGGUGAGGUGAAUAAACCUUUCCCAAGGUUUCUUUCUCAGCACAAAGGUUCUGGUUUUGAAUUCAGGCUGCAAGGCAAGGAUCCUACCAGUGAUUAUUAAUGUAUGAUGUUGGUAGAAUGUUGAAAUUGGGAUAGUAAGGAUCCUACCAGGGAUUAUUUAUGUAUUAUGUUGGUAGAAUGUUGAAGUUGGGAUAGUAGUAAGGAUCCUACCAGGGAUUAUUUAUGUAUGAUGUUGGUAGAAUGUUGAAGUUGGGAUAGUAGUAAAAGGCCGGUGUGUAAAUGACUAAGAUUCAAGCCUCCCAUGAAUUAGGGAGCUUUGUUUCAUUAUUGUGUGUUUAUCUGUAUGUUCCUUCCUGUAGUUGGCCAUCUGGGAGGAUUCUGUAUGGAGGAAUGGUCUAAGAUCACCCCAAUGUGUUCUCCGACUCAUAAAACAUUUAAGAAAAAGUCUUAGUGCUGUUAUCCAUGCAAGGUGGAGGCAGGUAGUCUAGUGGUUAGAGUGUAGGGGCGGCAGGUAGUCUAGUGGUUAGAGCGUAGGGGUGGCAGGUAGCCUAGUGGUUAGAGUGUAGGGGCGGCAGGUAGCCUAGUGGUUAGAGUGUAGGGGCGGCAGGUAGCCUAGUGGUUAGAGUGUAGGGGCGGCAGGUAGCCUAGUGGUUAGAGUGUAGGGGCGGCAGGUAGCCUAGUGGUUAGAGCGUUGGGCCAGUAACCGAAAGGUUGCAAGAUCGAAUGCCUGAGCUGACAAGGAAAGAACCUGUCGUUCUGCCCCUGAACAAGGCAGUUAACCCACUGUUCCUAGACCAGUUAACCCCCUGUUCCUAGACCAGUUAACCCCCUGUUCCUAGACCAGUUAACCCACUGUCCUAGACCAGUUAACCCACUGUUCCUAGACCAGUUAACCCACUGUUCCUAGACCAGUUAAUCCACUGUUCCUAGACCAGUUAACCCCCUGUUCCUAGACCAGUUAACCCACUGUUCCUAGGCUGUCAUUAAAAAUAAGAAUUUGUUCUUAACUGACUUGCCUAGUUAAAUAAAUGGGGGGAAA
ensembl:lncRNA